AAACAAUGCGAGGGUUGGUGAGGUACCUCUCGCUCUAAUUUCUCUAGUCUAGUCUAGUUGCCUCGCUUCCUCCUAUAGCGAUUCUGUCGAGCUGAGCUUUCACGUCCCUCACCACCGAUCUCCUUCCUACCCCUCGCCUAAGAUCGUCUGACGUCUCGCCUGACUGCUUUCGUUGUGUUGGUGCUCGGCAGCUGCUGUCACUGUAGAAGUUAGGUUGUGUGUGUAAAAAAACGUAAACAGUGUUGUUGGCUGAUCAAGUGCGGUAAGUUUUUUAAUAAUUAUGUUCUUAAUUUUACGUAAGUAAGUGCCAUUUUAGCAAAAUAAAGUGGUAGAAGUCCUGCCCAAUGUGUGCUGGCUCCGUCGGAAGCGUUACGUGCAUGUACCGGCGUAGGAAAGUGGUGUGGUGAACAACACAGCACAAGACAGCGGAUAUAAUGCAGAAACGAUAUGGGCCUGCGGCAGGUGUUUGCGACUGUGCGCUGUGUAUGAUUGUGUAUGAUACGCCAAUUUUCCUCUAUCCUGGAACGUGGGCUUACGAGGAACCGUUCAAGAAGAUCCUCCGGAAGCUGUACGGCGACGAGUCGUGCUCUACCAGCACAACACGCUAGAGGCCCAGCCGGCACCGGGUGCCCCGAUUGCGCCGUGAGACGGUGUCGAGCGCGCUCGUUAACAACGUUCGGGGCAGGAAUGCAACCUUUCGGAUCAUUAUCCUCUGCCUCACAAUAGCUGCAGCAGCAACAGGACCGAACCGACCGCACUACUGAUUGCGGUCAAAUACUGAUUGCGGUCCUGGCAGGAGAAAAAACCCCACGAGUCAACUGCGAUCGAACAGGCUGCUGACGAACAUUCGAAAAGGCGACAAACAUUCAUCCCCAGCGGCCUACGAUAUUCUUAGUGUUCAGUGGUGUGCGCGACCGUCGAAGUGUUAACAUUAAAAAUUUGAAUUAACAAGAUAAGACUAUUAUGGUGAUGUCGUGUAGAUGUGCGCAAGUGGGUUAAGAUUAGACUUAAGUACGCUUUAAGGCAUAAAUCGAUAUGCCUAAUUUUAAGUUAAGUGUUUUGACAAGCGCGUGUGUGUCAAGGGGCGGAAUAAGCGCUAAGCAAAUUAAGCGGCCGCGUCGGGCCCCGUGGUCUUGAGGGGCCCCAAAAAAGGAACCCCCCCCUCCCCCCCCCUCGCUCGCAAGUUAAAUUGCUACUAAAUCCUUCUCUAGUUUAGAAUAUUUCCCUGCUAGACGCUUAAACCAAGCCUACAUUUAUUUAUUUAUUUAUUUAUUUAUAUUUAUAUAUUAUAUUUAUUUAUAUAUUUAUUGUAUGUGCGGAUUUUACACAUCAUUUAAGAUAAAUA